rnacentral:rRNA from 1 species
AUUGAACGCUGGCGGCAGGCCUAACACAUGCAAGUCGAGCGGAGCGGCGGACGGGUGAGUAAUGCCUAGGAAUCUGACUGGGCGUGGGGGAUAACGGCCGGAAACGGGCGCUACUAACGCAUAUUAUCAGCUGAGCCUAGGUCGGAUUAGCUAGGUGGGGGGGGAAAGGCCUACCAAGGCGACGAUCCAUAACUGGUCUGAGAGGAUGAUCAGUCACACGGGGACUGAGACACGGUCCAGACUCCUACGGGAGGCAGGAGUGGGGAAUAUUGGGCAAUGGGCGAAAGCCUGAGCCAGCCAUGCCGCGUGUGUGAAGAAGGUCUUCGGAUGGUAAAGUACUUUAAGUUGGGAGGCGUUACCAACAGAAUAAGCACCGGCUAACUUCGUGCCAGCCGCCGCGGUAAUUC